AUGGCUAAAACAUCAACCUACCUCAAAAGUGAUAAAACAGAGUGUCGUUUUUGUUCAAACUUAUUAGAAUUUUCCCUCCCAAUGUCACUCCAAUGUGCCUAUAAAAAGAGGUCUUGUACACAGAAAAAGAGAACCCAAAAAAAAUACUAUACAAACCCAAAAAUCCCACAAGAAACAACACAAAAAAAUUUGUUCAUCUUUACUGCAACUCUAAGAAAAGACUGCUUACACCAACAACAAAAACUUUUUCUGUCAAAAUACAUCAAAUAA